rnacentral:rRNA from 1 species
UACAGAGGUCCCAAGCGUUGUUCGGAUUCACUGGGCGUAAAGGGUGCGUAGGUGGUGAGGUAAGUCGGAUGUGAAAUCUCCGAGCUCAACUCGGAAAUGGCAUUGGAAACUACCUUGCUCGAGGGUUGGAGGGGGGACUGGAAUGCUUGGUGUAGCAGUGAAAUGCGUAGAUAUCAAGCGGAACACCAGUGGCGAAGGCGAGUCCCUGGACAACUGCUGACACUGAGGCAAGAAAGCUAGGGGAGCAAACAGG